rnacentral:tRNA from 1 species
AAAAUGUUAGUAAAAAAAUUACACUGUCUUGUCAUGACAGAAUUAUAAGGUAGUACUUAUACAUUUUA